rnacentral:tRNA from 1 species
GGUUCUAUCGUCAAAUGGUUAAGACACUACAUCUUCAUUGUGGGAAUCUCAGUUCAAACCUGGGUAGGAUCA